rnacentral:rRNA from 1 species
AUGAACGCUGGCGGCCUGCCUAACCCAUGCCAGUCGAUCGGUAAGGCUCUUCGGAGUACACGAGAGGCGGACGGCUGAGUAACGCGUAGGAACACACCCUGCAGUGAGGGAUAAGACACCGAAAGGUGUUCUAAUACCGCAUACGGUCUUCGGAUUAAAGCAUUUAUGCGCUGAAGGAGUGGCCUGCGUCAUAUUAGAUAGUUGGUGAGGUAAUGGCUCACCAAGUCGAUGAUGUGUAGCUGGUCUGAGAGGAUGAUCAGCCAGACUGGAACUGAGACACGGUCCAGACUCCUACGGGAGGCAGCAGUGAGGAAUAUUUCACAAUGAGCGAAAGCUUGAUGGAGCAAUGCCGCGUGCAGGAUGAAGGCCCUCGGGUUGUAAACUGCUUUUAUAAGAGAAGAUUAUGACGGUAACUUAUGAAUAAGGGACGGCUAACUACGUG